rnacentral:rRNA from 1 species
GACGAACGCUGGCGGCGUGCUUAACACAUGCAAGUCGAACGAUGAAGCCCAGCUGGCUGGGUGGAUUAGUGGCGAACGGGUGAGUAACACGCUGGCAACCUCCCCCAAACUCUGGGAUACCUCCUCGAAAGAGGUGCUAAUACCGGAUACGAACUAGACAGACAUCUGUACCAGUUGUAAAGCUGUUCGGUUUGGGAUGGGCCCGCGGCCUAUCAGCUUGUUGGGGAGGUAACGGCUCACCAAGGCUACGACGGGUAACCGGACUGAGAGGGCGACCCGUCACACUGGGACUGAGACACGGCCCAGACUCCUACGGGAGGCAGCAGUGGGGAAUAUUGCGCAAUGGGCGAAAGCCUGGCGCAGCGACGCCGCGUGAGGGAUGAAGGUCUUCGGAUCGUAAACCUCUUUCAGUAGGGACGAAGCGAAAGUGACGGUACCUAAAGAAGAAGCACCGGCUAACUACGUGCCAGCCGCCGCGGUAA